UUAAAACUCCACCCAACUCAUAGCGGCCUGAGGGUUUUCUUCACUCUGAUUAUUCUGUCUCAUUUGAGAUCUCAAGUAUGUAGGAAGCAUUUAUGGUCCGACUUUCCAUUUUUAUUUUCCCAAAAAGGAAACUUGUCAUAGAUGAUUACUAAAUAUUAAUUAGCCCUGAAGGAGUGAGAAAUGAAUAGGAUAAUCAUUUUCAGUCAAGGGAAAAGCAGUCAUUCAGACCAUGAAGUCGACGCUGUGGUGUUUACUGAAGAGACCUUUGAGUAUAGUGUUUGGUCCCUGCUAUAGAAAGGACAAGAAGCUGUGAAGCACCUGAAAAGUUUCAAUUUCAGAAUAAAAUAAUACUGCAGUGGCAACAUGACCAGCUGCUUCAUCCUCCUGCAGCCAGGUGCUCUACACUAGGAUAAACCGUAUCCCUCUUGAACCGUGAGUCCAAUCACCCAAUCCAAAAAUAAACAAACAAAGAAAUAAACAUCUUUUCUUGGC